GGAUCAUUGUCGCCACUUGCUCAAGCAGAACAACUUGUGAACAUGUAAUCACAACCGAUGAACUAAGGGGCCGUCGCAUUUGGCGGGCAACCUCUGUUCUCAAUGUCAAGGCAUGCUUGGUCAUAUCGCAGCCCAUUAACGCUUGCCGUUUGAGUUGCGGUUGCCCGGCUUGACUUGAUAUAAAACAAAAACCCGGCGUGAAAUGCGCCAAGGAAUGUAAAAGAGUGUGCAUCCGUCCCGUGUUUUGCUUGCAUAAUAUUUCGGAACGAUGUUAUCUUCUUGAUGUUUAUAAUGACUCUCGGCAACGGAUAUCUCGGCUCUUACAUCGAUGAAGAACGUAGCGAAAUGCGAUACUUGGUGUGAAUUGCAGAAUCCCGUGAAUCAUCGAGUCUUUGAACGCAAGUUGCGCCCGAAUCCAUCCGGUCGAGGGCACGUCUGCCUGGGUGUCACGUACACACGGCUCCGCUAGCCCUCUCCUUUAAGGUUUGGCGGGACAUGUGCGAGCAGAGAUUGGUCUCCCGUGCUUUUAAAUUGCGCGGUUAGCCUAAAAAUGAGUACCGGUGGUGAAGUUUCACGCCAAGUGGUGGUUCAUAAACCUUAUGGGUUUUGCCAGUUCGAGUCGUGAAAGCCCAUCACUCGGAAAGCUUGAUAGACACCUUGAACGUCUAAUUGACGCUAUGUCGCGACCCCA
rnacentral:misc_RNA from 1 species